CCGGCCUGAGAGGGCGACCGGCCACACUGGGACUGAGACACGGCCCAGACUCCUACGGGAGGCAGCAGUGGGGAAUAUUGCACAAUGGGCGGAAGCCUGAUGCAGCGACGCCGCGUGAGGGAUGACGGCCUUCGGGUUGUAAACCUCUUUCAGCAGGGACGAAGCGAGAGUGACGGUACCUGCAGAAGAAGCACCGGCCAACUACGUGCCAGCAGCCGCGGUAAGACGUAGGGUGCGAGCGUUGUCCGGAUUUAUUGGGCGUAAAGAGCUCGUAGGCGGCUUGUCGCGUCGACCGUGAAAACUUGGGGCUCAACUCCAAGCCUGCGGUCGAUACGGGCAGGCUAGAGUUCGGUAGGGGAGACUGGAAUUCCUGGUGUAGCGGUGAAAUGCGCAGAUAUCAGGAGGAACACCGGUGGCGAAGGCGGGUCUCUGGGCCGAUACUGACGCUGAGGAGCGAAAGCGUGGGGAGCGAACAGGAUUAGAUACCCUGGUAGUCCACGCUGUAAACGUUGGGCGCUAGGUGUGGGGGGCCUCUCCGGUUCCCUGUGCCGCAGCUAACGCAUUAAGCGCCCCGCCUGGGGAGUACGG
rnacentral:rRNA from 1 species